GAUUUCAACUGAAAAAGACAUCAACAACAAAGUGGUAUAACUCAUCAAGAUCUAUAAAUUUUAUUUUGGUCAUUUCUUCAUCCGAUAAAGUGAUUUGUAACAUUGUUCACAAAAUGUAGAUAUCUCUUAUACAGUGUAUAAACUAUAAGAAAGAUAUGCAAAUUUUAUAAAUAAUAUUACUAUUACUUUGUCGAAUGAAGAAAUGACCAAAAUAAAAGUUAUAGAUAUUGACGAGUUAUACAACUUUGUUGUUGAUGAUUUUUUUAGUUGAAAUC
rnacentral:pre_miRNA from 1 species